UAAUCUGUGUGACUGUUUUAGAACGUGU
rnacentral:sRNA from 1 species